CCAGCAGUCGCGGUUAAACGAAUAGUGCAAGUUAAUUUUAUUUGAUUGAGUUAAAUUGUUUUUAAUUUAUUUUUGAUAAACUUAUUAGGUGAAAUUUUAAGGUUAUCUAUGUAAUUCUAAAAUUUAUUGAAGCUUGUAAAUUUUAAUUAAAAACUAGGAUUAGAUACCCUAUUAUUUAAAAUUAAAAAAUUUAUUUUAGGUAGUAUUAGUUAUGAUCUUGAAACUUAAAAAAUUUGGCGGUAUUUUAGUCUAUCCAGAGGAACCUGUUCUGUAAUCGAUAAUCCACGUUGGACCUUACUUGACAAUGUAUUCAGUUUAUAUACCGUCGUUAUAAGAGUAUUUUAUAAGAAUAGUAAUUUUCUUUAAUUUUUAUUAAAAUUUAUAUCAGAUCAAGGUGUAGCUAAUAGUUAAGUAGAAAUGGGUUACAAUAAAUUUAUUUAUAUGAAUUUUUAUUUGCAAUAUAUUUUAUGAAGGUGGAUUUGGUAGUAAAAUUAUUAAUAGUUUUAAUUUGAUUAUAGCUCUAAAAUAUGC
rnacentral:rRNA from 1 species